ACUGUAAUGUGCGUACUUCGCAGUCGUCAUUCCUCUUGAGGAAACAAAGCUAUUCGGAGCUUCUAAUCUUGGAUUAAAAUUGCACAGUUGACUAUUCAAUGUAUAUUAGACUGAGCAUGUGCAACACAAAGAAAUCUCAGGAAACGGGAGCGCAAAUAAUGCGGAUGAAAUGUACUGCGAUCUGGUCCCAUCAACUGCCAACUAAUCAGUUGUUCCUGUCCUAAAGGAUGAAAAUGUGCAACAGUAAAAGGAGCAAAACCUCCCACAAUCCAAUCGACGAAAAAAUCAUCGACCUAACACCGACCGUAACGCUGGUGCCUAUUCGGUACGAUGUUGACAUCUGGAUACGCCAUUAGUUUGUAUGAGGGAACCUUUUCUCUAUCAGAUUAGUCGGCCCGAAGGCAGUUUUAAAUUGGUAGAAUUUGUAUGAAAAUUGUUUCUUGGCUUUAUUUAUCUACUUGAAGUACGUUUUCCUGACCUUAGUUUAAAUUAUUUUCUAUAAAUUUUCAGAUAUUCUCACAAAAACUUACCUUUAUAAUAUAAAAUUAUCUUUAGGCAUAAUUU